rnacentral:lncRNA from 1 species
CUUUCCUCAGUAUGUCUAUGCCUCCAUUGUGAUGGGUGAGUGAUUAUUGAAGAACAAUUCCCAUCCAUGACACCCCAGCCCCUGCCAUAGCUACACUGCCCACUUGGAGCUUCUGGGUAAGGAAGAGACUACAGCAGUAUAGAGCUCAGUAAACCCAAAAGCCUGUCCUCAGGAUUUAUUAAGAUCCAAAAUGAAAAGUGACAAUUAUGUGCCCUAUGAACUGUGUAGUACCAUUCAGAUGAAAACUAUAGCAACUGGCAUAAGGAGAGGCAAAACUCACUACUGAAAGAGUAAGUUUAAGUGGACUUACCACUAAAUUAAAAAUCCUCAGCAAAAGCUUCUCUUCUGAUUGUGACAUCAAAGGAAAAAAAGAUUUACCUUGUAUCUUCAUAAUCCAUUUUUUUAGCAACUUCCACCAACAAAUAGACUAUGAUUCUCAAAGUUUCUAUAUUAGGCAGAAAUGAGUAGCGACAAGUUAGCUGUUAAAGGAGAAAAACUACCAUUCCACAAAUUCUAACGUUCUUUCAUGAAAAUCUACUUCCACUUAUCUGAAGCCAUUGAAGCAGUUUCUAUCAAGACUGAUGAUACUAAAAUCUGUCUAUGAUAUUAGCCUUUUUUUCUGAAUACAAUGAUUACUUAUCCUUAUUAGACACCAAAUCAUAUCUCCAAAAAGAAAUAUGCUUU